GACGAACGCUGGCGGCGUGCUUAACACAUGUAAGUCGAACGGAAAGGCCCUGCUUUUGUGGGGUGCUCGAGUGGCGAACGGGUGAGUAACACGUGAGUAACCUGCCCUUGACUUUGGGAUAACUUCAGGAAACUGGGGCUAAUACCGGAUAGGAGCUCCCGCUGCAUGGUGGGGGUUGGAAAGUUUCGGCGGUUGGGGAUGGACUCGCGGCUUAUCAGCUUGUUGGUGGGGUAGUGGCUUACCAAGGCUUUGACGGGUAGCCGGCCUGAGAGGGUGACCGGCCACAUUGGGACUGAGAUACGGCCCAGACUCCUACGGGAGGCAGCAGUGGGGAAUAUUGCACAAUGGGCGGAAGCCUGAUGCAGCAACGCCGCGUGCGGGAUGACGGCCUUCGGGUUGUAAACCGCUUUCGCCUGUGACGAAGCGUGAGUGACGGUAAUGGGUAAAGAAGCACCGGCUAACUACGUG
rnacentral:rRNA from 1 species